rnacentral:rRNA from 1 species
AACGAACGCUGGCGGCAUGCCUAACACAUGCAAGUCGAACGAGAUCUUCGGGUCUAGUGGCGCACGGGUGCGUAACGCGUGGGAAUCUGCCCUUUGGUUCGGAAUAACAGUUGGAAACGACUGCUAAUUCCGGAUGAUGACGAAAGUCCAAAGAUUUAUCGCCAGAGGAUGAGCCCGCGUAGGAUUAGCUAGUUGGUGUGGUAAAGGCGCACCAAGGCGACGAUCCUUAGCUGGUCUGAGAGGAUGAUCAGCCACACUGGGACUGAGACACGGACCAGACUCCGACGGGAGGCAGCAGUGGGGAAUAUUGGACAAUGGGCGAAAGCCUGAUCCAUCAAUGCCGCGUGAGUGAUGAAGGCCUUGGUUUGUAAAGCUCUUUUACCCGGGAUGAUAAUGACAGUACCGGGAGAAUAAGCUCCGGCUAACUCCGUGCCAGCCGCCGCCGUAA